UGCAUGCUUCUCAGGUAAGUUUGCCUGAGUGUGCGUCCAUUUUCAACAGGAGACAGCGACCAGUACAGUCACUUCACGGUCAAGAGGCUGUGUGCCCAUGAAAUGGAGGAGCUGGGUGCUCCUAUGUAUAUAUAAGGACUGUGUGUCCAAUGACCACCUGAGUAAGGCCAGUUAUGUAGUUUCUAGUGAGAAGGAAGCUGUAAAAGGGCAGUAGACAUGUACAAGCUGUGUGCUGAUAAUGUCCAGGAGGUGGUGAAGCUGUGUGCUCAGAAGCUGCGUGCUAAGGAGCUGUGUGCUCAACUUCAUGUGAAGUGACCUUGAGGGCCUGGGAGACCAUUGACUAAGGCUCCAUAUGAAUGUUCCAGUCAGUAACCAUCAGUAACCAGUUAUCCUUCAUGGAAGGUGUAUCAAGACGUACAGUACUAGUGAAAACAUCCAGGAUGAGGUUUCAACUACGUGGAAAAGACUUUAAACAUUACAUCAGUGUGGAGGACCGCAGUUGUGGGAAAAGACUUUCAAUAGACUGUUUAUAGGUUUAAUAUUGUUAAUAUUAGGCAUAUAUUUAGGUUAUUUAUGUGUAGUGUAUUGUCGUCGAGUGAGAGGGUAUGCGACUUGGUGUGGUUUGUAUCUCUACUUUCUUGUAAAUUUUUAUAUAUAAUAUAUGUUUAUUUGUAUAUAUA